rnacentral:lncRNA from 1 species
AUAAAUACUGUAUUUUGGGAACAGAGCCAGCUGAAAGGCCUGCCCUUCUGGCUGGGCCCCAACCUCCUCUGAAAUUGGGUGGUCUUCUGGCCGGGCCAUUCAUAUCCAAGCUUCCCCUCAUCACAUUUAAGCAGUAGAACUGAUCAGCAGCAAAGCUCUACAUCAGUGCUUCAGAAAACAGUUUCAAAACCGGGGAAUAAGGGAAAGGAGAGGAAAGGAAGGAGGCUUUUAAUUUAGUUUGGUGAUGUCUACAAAUGCAGCGUCAGAAGAUGAAGCAACAUCGGCUGCAUCGGGAGGAGUAAAGGAAAUGCUUUUAGUUCCAUUUUCAAAUCCUAAGGCUUAUGAAGUGACAAAUGGUGUUUAUCCUAUCUGGAAAAAAUGUUAUUCUUAAUUGUAAUACGUUUGCUGCUGCCAGCUCUCACUGCCUCAGUGUGUGGCUCUCGAUAAACGGUGUCUUUGCAGGCCCUGUUUUGAUUAUACAGGAAUCUCAACAAUGCUUUUUUUCUGUUUUGUUUCGUUGGGUGUUUUUUUUUUCAGCUUGGAAGUACACAUUAGAGCAGGACGUGAACACUGAGAAAGUGAAAGAAAUUCACUACAUAUCGACUUGUAAAAAAUCUCACAAUCUUUAAGAUGCUGUGUUUUCAUAUCAAGAUACAGAGAAUCUAGAAAUGAAGAAAGUUUCCAGGAGAUAUUUUUCUGCUACGGGAACAACAGGAACCUCGCUGCAGGGGAGUACAGGAUUCGUGGCUCUCACCCUGGGACAAACAAAAAAAAGAAGCAAAAGCGGUGAACCCACCUGCUCUGGGAAAAUAAACCAGAGAGGAGGUACACUAUGGGAGCAGCCGGAUUGUGCCCACUGAGAAGAGUGGUUUUGUCUUGUUCUCAUUGGUGUGUUCAGAAGGCAGUCAGCUAUAAGGGGAAGUUUUAGGAACAUGUUAACUGCAGCGAUGGAGUUUUCAGGGAACUCAGCACAGCCUGAUUAGGUUUUUAAUUCACAACAGUUCUUUUCCUUGUCUAUUUUUGGAUCCUCUCUAAUCAGUAUACAUGAAACUGCAUUUGGACUACUUACUACAUCCAGUUUGGGACUCCUAGUGAAAGAAGACAUUAAGAAAUUGGAAAGAGACCAGCAGAAGGUCACCAAGAUGGUAAAGGUGCUGCAGGAGGAGGGGCUGAGAGGAGGUGAUUUGUUUAACCCUUGAAGAACAUAAGGCUGAGGCAGGAUCUCCUAGCUAUCUACCUAAUAGGGAGUUACAGAGAAGAGAGUUUCACGCUUCUUGGAAGCAUACAGCAGAAGAACAGUAGACGUGGCUACAAGUUGCAAGAGAAACUCCAUCUGGACACGAGGAAAAAAAAUCACCAGAGUAUUCAACCAGUGGAAGAGGUUGCCCAUAAAUUGAUGGGAUCUCCAUAAUGGAGAUACUAAAAACCCAACAGAACCAGCCUCUGAGAAACGUAAAUUAACUUUGAAGUUAGUCAUGUUCUGAGCAGUAAUUCUUCCUUCACCCUUAGCUUUUGGCAUAUAAUUCCCUGAAAGCUCACCCGUAACUUACGGCAAGGUAAUUGCCUUCUCUGAGCAUAGCAUAUCUGAAUGCCAGUUUCCAUGACUGGUCAGAUCACAGAGCACCUUUAAUGAUGCAGCUCUCUGGUAACAGAACAAGUUUGGCUUCUCCUGGUGCCUCACAGCAGCUGGAAACAAAGCUGAGUCCCCUCCAGGGCAGUGAGAGUGUGUGCAAGACGGAUAACUCUUCCACUGCAAGGCAAGAUGGAAAAGACUGCAGAACAAACAUGAAGGCUUUGCUCCUUUGCAGGCACAGGAAUCGUGCUUUUCUGUCCUUUCAUGUGAUCCGCCUACCACAGAAAGUUGCUAACAAGGACUUGGAAAGUAAAAUGUGCAUUAAAUGAAUGGGUUUGGCAGAAGAAACAUCUGUUUGUGAGUAACUUCUUGUUCCCUACAUAUGAUAAUGGUUAUGGAUUAGUAUACAGAAUACUGAACUUGUUUACAGCGCCUGGGAACUGUAUGUUUUGAAUCAUUAAUAGGCAGAAUUUC